GAUGGUCCUUAUUGAAGCUGCAGCUGCUUUCACAUAACUGCUGUGGUCAAAAAAGAGCCCAGGAGUUCCUGUUAGGGCUCAGCCUAUUAUGAACCACACUA
ensembl:snoRNA